rnacentral:rRNA from 1 species
AACGAACGCUGGCGGCAGGCCUAACACAUGCAAGUCGAGCGCGAAAGGGACUUCGGUCCUGAGUAAAGUGGCGCACGGGUGAGUAACGCGUAGAUAACCUGUCUUCACGUCUGGAAUAAUACGCCGAAAGGGGUACUAAUACCGGAUAUUCUUGCUUUUCAUAAGUUUUGCAAGGAAAGGUGGCCUCUGUAUAUGCUACUGCGGGAAGAGGGGUCUGCGUACCAUUCGCUAGUAGGUGGGGUAAUGGCCUACCUAGGCAACGAUGGUUAGCGGGUCUUGUAGGAUGAUCCGACCCACUGCCACUGGAACACGGGCCAGACUCCGACGGGGGGCAGCAGUGAGGAAAAUUGCGAAAUGGGGGAAACACUGACGUAGCGACGCCGCUUGAGUGGGGAAGGCCUUCGGGUCGUAAAGCUCUGUCAAAGGGAAAGAAGUGCAUGAUGGCUAAUACCUGUCAUGUUUGACGGUACCCUUAAAGGAAGCACCGGCUAACUCCGUGCCAGCAGCCGCCGUAACAC